rnacentral:rRNA from 1 species
AUUGAACGCUGGCGGCAGGCUUAACACAUGCAAGUCGAGCGAGCGGCGGACGGGUGAGUAAUGUCUGGGACACUGCCUGAUGGAGGGGGAUAACUACUGGAAACGGUAGCUAAUACCGCAUACCAUCAGAUGUGCACAGAUGGGAUUAGCUAGUAGGUGGGGGAAUGGCUCACCUAGGCGACGAACCCUAGCUGGUCUGAGAGGAGAACCAGCCAAACUGGAACUGUGACAGGGGCCAAACACCUGGGGGAGGCGACAGUGGGAAAUAUUGCACAAGGGGCGAAAGCCUGAUGCAGACAUGCCGCGGGUGUGAAAAGGUUUUUCGGGUUGUAAAGCACUUUCAGCGAGGAGGCGUUACUCGCAGAAAAAGCACCGGCUAACUCCGUGCCAGCAGCCGCGGUAAUUC